rnacentral:lncRNA from 1 species
AUGGUAGAAGGGUGUUUUACUAUGUCAGAAGGGUGUUUUACUAUGGUAGAAGUAGAAGGGUGUUUUACUAUGGCAGAAGGGUGUUUUACUAUGGUAGAAGUAGAAGGGUGUUUUACUAUGUCAGAAGGGUGUUUUACUGUGGUAGAAGGGUGUUUUACUAUGGUAGAAGGGUGUUUUACUAUGGUAGAAGUAGAAGGGUGUUUUACUAUGGUAGAAGGGUGUUUUACUAUGGUAGAAGGGUGUUUUACUAUGUCAGAAGGGUGUUUUACUAUGUCAGAAGGGUGUUUUACUAUGUCAGAAGGGUGUUUUACUAUGUCAGAAGGGUGUUUUACUAUGUCAGAAGGGUGUUUUACUAUGUCAGAAGGGUGUUUUACUAUGUCAGAAGGGUGUUUUACUAUGUCAGAAGGGUGUUUUACUAUGUCAGAAGGGUGUUUUACUAUGGUAGAAGGGUGUUUUACUAUGGUAGAAGGGUGUUUUACUAUGUCAGAAGGGUGUUUUACUAUAGUAGAAGGGUGUUUUACUAUGGUAGAAGUAGAAGGGUGUUUUACUAUGUCAGAAGGGUGUUUUACUAUGGUAGAAGGGUGUUUUACUAUGGUAGAAGGGUGUUUUACUAUGUCAGAAGGGUGUUUUACUAUGUCAGAAGUGUGUUUUACUAUGUCAGAAGGGCGUUUUAAUAUGUCAGAAGGGUGUUUUACUAUGUCAGAAGGGUGUUUUACUAUGGUAGAAGGGUGUUUUACUAUGUCAGAAGGGUGUUUUACUAUGUCAGAAGGGUGUUUUACUAUGGUAGAAGGGUGUUUUACUAUGGUAGAAGGGUGUUUUACUAUGGUAGAAGGGUGUUUUACUAUGUCAGAAGGGUGUUUUACUAUGGUAGAAGGGUGUUUUACUAUGGUAGAAGUAGAAGGGUGUUUUACUAUGGCAGAAGGGUGUUUUACUAUGGUAGAAGUAGAAGGGUGUUUUACUAUGUCAGAAGGGUAUUUUACUAUGGUAGAAGGGUGUUUUACUAUGGUAGAAGGGUGUUUACUAUGUCAGAAGGGUGUUUUACUAUGGUAG